CCGAUGCGGGGCUCGAACUCACGAACUGUGAGAACAUAGGACUGAGUCGAAGUCAGACGCUCAGCCGACUAAGCCACCCAGGGACCCCAUAAGACAUUUUCCUAGUCUCAGAGCUGGACCUGUAUUUUUAAGUUAAAUACCCGCAAUUUUAAAAAACUCCCUUAACUCCUCUUCAGACACUUUCAAUCAGAAACAAUCAUAGGAGACAUAGUAGAGGAUUUAUCAUAGUAUUUGACCUGUAAGUGCAAUUAAGAGGAGGUAGAUCCGGGCUGUGUGAGGUGCUGGAGCCUAAAAUCCACGGUGCGGGCUGUUGGGGAGGGACAAUGAGUGUGAAGUGGGGGACACGGGAACAGACUGGAACCUGCAAAAUGGGGCCGUGAGGACACUUGUGUCAGUCUCACUACCUUCAGAUGUCCAACUUCAGUGAUGGGGACAAGGGACUGGGCUAAACGCUCACCUGGCCCAGCAGCUGGGGAAAGCUAGAAUGAGUCAGACAAGAGCUGACGGUGCUGAGCCCAGGUGCUGCCCAGGCCCCCGGAGGUGGACACAAAGCAGGAUGGCCAUCGCCUCACGUCUCUCACCUGCCAGCCCUCCAGAGUUCCCAGCAGCAGGCCGCACCUAAACUGGGAAGGAGCUUCCGGUUCCUUCCCAAGUUGUUGCUUGUACAGAGGGGGUGGCGGCUGUGUCCGUGGACAAUCCGGACUGCUGGGGGAGGCUGAAGGCAAGGUGAGCUGGAGGUACAGAACCUCCUCACAGCCUUGUGUUCUGCUCAUUAGCUUGACUUCCACCAGAACAGAGGUUAUGAAACUGGUUUGAAGGGAGUUUCACCCACAGGUCACUGGGGUUUGUCUGUUAACAUCCUGGGGCUUAUUUUCUCUCUUCGAUGGGGAAGCGCUCACAGUGUGUACAGUUUGGAGGUGGUGAGUCUGGGAUGUCCAAAGAAGGGAGAGGCCCUGACUGUGCAGGCCAUGAUCCCCCUCUGCAUGGGUGCCUAGUGUCUUUGUCCUGAAGAUGCUUCACAGACAUGUGCUUUCUUCUACCCUCCAGGAGGAGAUCAGCUGUCCGUGUGGCUCUCCCUGGUCUGAGUGGCUCCUUGGAGUAUGGAAUCAACUUUGAAAAGUAUUUUUCUGUGAUGGGAAAACCUCCAUUCAAAGCACAACAUGGGGUGUGGAUUGAUAUCCAUGGGCUGAUUUAGGAAGUAUAGGUGAUCUAGAGUGUGAUCUCCUACCACUUUGUCCUCAAGCAGACCCACAACCUGUGCCUUUUCUGCAGUAAAGUUGGCUGUUGCCUUUUCUGCAGGGAGUUGGCUGUGGUCCAGGGAGGAGGUCGGACCCAGGUUCUUCAACGGAGAUCCGAUCUGCAUCAGUCACUCUCUCAGGGGCCGCCAGAUGGCAGUGUUGGCCUGCCCAGUCUAAGCCACCCUGCCAUAGAAGAUCUGAUCUGCAAAGAAGCAGGUUGCUGGCCUGUGCUCUGCCAGUGCACAGACUUUGCUGAGUCUGUGGGAUGAACCCAGCAAAAUUGAAUAGAAAUCACAUUCUCUGCCGAGGGUAACUCCUCACUUGCUGUCCACCAUCAUCCCAGAAGGCAGAGACCUCAUCUGCUUUGCACUCCUGGCUCCAGACCCAUGUCCACCAUUAUUGCUUAAUAAAUAUUGUUAAACUGGUUAAUCAUG